rnacentral:lncRNA from 1 species
AUAUUACUGUCAUAAAAAUCUAUUUCGUGUAAGUAUUCACACUUAUUUAUAGAUCUAAUUGGAUUUUGAAAAAAUAUUAACCGACCUCUCAUAGUGAUGAAAGUAGCAUUCCACGUUUAGCAGUAAGCGUGAUUUCGUUCUGAAUGGCAACAUCCUGCUUGACAGAUAUAACAUCCUUCGUCGCUAAAACGAGGACAUCAAAGAAAAGUUGAACAGCUUCCUCUCUAUUGCAUCCCGCACUAAGAGUUUGGAAGGAUACUUUUUCACCUUCAGUAUAAGGAUCCCACUUAUUGCGUAGAGAAUCUUUGGCUGUUUGUGAACUAGGAAGGGCCUCAGAUACCGAAGAGUCCAAUCGUUCGCUUCCCAGCAAAUCGGCCUCGUCCAGCAUUACGGGAGGAGCGUCAAAAAGUGAAUCAUCGGCUGAUUCCAAGGCAGUAACAGGAAAUCCCAUUGGCGAACCAAGCUCAGGAGCUUCUCCUUCUGGUUGAACAACGGUUUCUUGUGGUAAAGUAGCGAUAGCGGCUUCAGUAAUGUUGGCAAGCUCAGCGGCUGCAAUUUCUUCAGGGUCCAAGACUUCAGCAGUUUCUUGGUUUUCAGUUGAGGUAUCAGUACGUUGGUGCUUGGCAGGCUCGACUUCCUCUGGGCUCUCAUUUUUUCUCUUUCUUAGAAUUGCCUGUUUGAAAUCAGCUUGCAAAAGCUCGUUUACUUUAGGGUUCAGGUUGGAAGAAAAUAUGGAAGUAUUAAAUUUACCGUUUCGAGUAAAAUUAACGGUGGCAUUAAACACGAUGGAAGAUGUAUUCAAGCAUAACGGUGAGGUGAUGGAAGAUGUAUCUGCCAAUUGUUUUUUCAUUUGCUUGGAGGACAAUUCAGUAACGGGAUCAAUAAUUGCACGUUGACGACGUACAGUUUUCUGUGGAUUGAUCUUUUCCUGUUGAGGAGCAGUGGCGCUUUCAACAACCUGACCUUCCUCUACUCCUGCUGCUGCAGGACGAGAUGAAUCAUCUUCCAUAAUGUCAGAAGGGAGAUGAAUACUUGAUGUUUCAGCUUGUUCAUCAGCCUCUAUCGCCGGAGCAUUAGCACCUUGUUCAUCUCCUAAAAGAUCAUCUAAGCCCAAAUCCAGGUUUAAAUCAUCAACAGGAGCCAACAAUUCAUCAUCCAAUGAAGUUCCUCCUAUUGGUAGCAUGCUUGGCGUACUAAAAUGAGUGACUGAACUAGCCGGCGACUUAGUCAUUUGAGGCCCAAUAAUUCCACUUAAAUCGGUGGCAGCAGCAGCAGGAGCAUCUCUACCUACUUCUAUAGAAAUUUGGGACUGAUUAUCAGAGUGCACACUUCUAGGUGUAGCAGCACCGGAAUUUGAAAUGGGAAGAUGAAACUGCAUAUCAUUGCCAACAUGUGCGAAUGAUUCGCCCAAGGAAAACCCUGAUUCUACUUGGGCAUUUCGUCCAGCCUCAAUUGAUAGCUGGGAAGAUGGAAAAGAAGGAGAGGAAGAUAUUGGUAAAGAAUGUAGUUCAAGAGUGUUCGAAGAACGAGAGGGUGUACGAAGAAGUUGAGACCAUUGAAAAUCAAAUGUACUAUCAGGUACCAAAAGAUCAAACUCUGUAAUUGUCUCAGGAAGAGUGAGAUUAGCGCUCUGUGUCACAGCAUCUUUACCUUUUAAAGAUUGGAGAGCAGUAGCUGGUUCAAUCAUAUCAACCUGACCCGGUUGAAAGGACAUUUUCAAACGCAUCAACGCUUCCGUACAAUCCUCCAAUAAAUACCUAGCCUUUCUGGAAUAAAUGCGAACAACACCCAACAUUAGUUGUCCUGAUAGGCGAAGGGCCAUUGGAGCGGUUUCCUCCGUGACAAUUGCAUGGACGCUUUGCUCAAUACUGGUGUGCAAAGUUUGCACUUUGGAAAGUUUCUUUUCCCAGUGAGCUGCCAACCAUACCUUGGCCAAAGGACCCUAACGCGAACAGUUAGUCAGACGAUUCAAAGACAAAUUAGCACUGUUUACGCGCUAAAGAAAACUUAUAAACUACAUACCUUUUUUGAAAGAAUGGCCUCUGAAUAGAACAUAAGAAGCUUAAUAUGAUUAGGAGAAAAAGAUAGAAAGAAAUUAAAGAGUAAAGACAAAAAAAAGAGG